UUCGUGUCCCCAAAUUAAAUGUCCAAAAUACCCUCCUCAUCUACACAGCUCAUUCAAUCUGAGGAGCGUACAUUCAACCCUUCCUCCCCGUUUUCCUCCCGUUUUCUCUCUCCUUGGAUCUUCUUCGUCUUCCUCAAAUCCUCUCAUCCCGAAUAGAAUCGUCUACCCUUCCUUCGUUCAUUCCCAUCCUCUCUAGCCCUAAAAAAAACCCCAAAUUUCGAAAACCCUCCCCGCAGCAAAACCUCAUUCUCAAACUCUAACCCUAAAUCAAUGUCGAUCAGCUUGAGAAAAGCCACCACUCGGCUACCUUCCAAAGUAAACCGAGUUCUAUAUGUUCGAAAUCUGCCCUUCAACAUCACCAGCGAAGAGAUGUACGACAUCACCAGCGAAGAGAAGUACAGAGCAAUUCGCCAAAUUCAACAUCACCAGAGAAGAGAAGUACAACAUAGAGUUGAAGAAUGAUCUGGGUUGUCUUCGCAUAAUUGAAUUUUUGAUUGAAUUUUGGGGAUUACUUUCCAGGUGUUUCGUUUGACCAUUCAGAUAAAGAGCUUUUCUGCCUGGUGAAGUGGCGAAUAUGCCGGCGAAAUUGAACCAGUGUAAGCUUGAUGCUCGCCGUGAACAAUGCCUUUCGCAAGAUUGUUUCUAUUGGUGAGACAAUGGAAUCGUUCAUGGAGCUUCAGACUUUUGAUGAUAGGAUUUUGAGGAAAUUGGCAUACUCACAUGUAUGGAAUUCCUGAGAGCAGGUUGCGUAGGUUGUACUAUGGCUAUCAUGAAGAAUGUUUUAAGGUAUCUUCCGUGUAUCAGAUCUCCUUGAUUUUAUUAGUCCUGAUCAUGAUCCUAAGGGCGGAGAUGCUCAGAAGAAACAUAGGUGUUCAAAGGGAUUCUUUUAUGAAGCAUUUUAUGGAGAAAUGAGCUUGAACGAGGAUCACUUCAAACGGAUAGAAGCAGCGGCAGCAAAAGGAGGAACUCAAGAAAUCUUACCAUGAGCUUGAAGGGGUCUUCUCCACCCAAAAAAUCAAGAACUCGAGUUCAAUCGAAGAAAACUCUUACUGCAUCAAUGGCUUCAAAGGAAAUUUCCUACAAAGAAGUUGCCAUGUCACCCCCAUGAACUAUCUUCAAGCCUGUGCAGCAGAAGGAAGAAGUAACUAAUGCAGAAGAAAUCCAGAAAGUUCCUGAAACUUCUUACAAAGUAGUCAGUCCAGUAGGACUGAAGGUAACAAGCAUACCAGGCUUCAACACACCAGUCUCAACACGUCCUACAUGCACAGUUCCAAUACCUCCAAUCUAAUAACCUUAAUUUUUUAAUAUGAACUUUGUGAACAUAUUUUUAUCUAAUUUUAUAUUUAGUGGUUGUAAUACAAUUUAAACUUUUUAUAUAAUCCGCACGUAUCGCUUCCUUCUAUUUUAAGUUUUUUGUCAUAUAA